GGGUCAGGAGGUUGGUCGUGCCACCGGUACGUACUGGUCUCACUGAUUCCUCCUUCCUGAAGAACCGUAAUGCCAUUAAUUUGGUGUUGCGGGGAAACAGGACUGUUACUUUGAAAAGAUUAGAGUGUUUAAAGCAAGCUAACGCUUGAAUACAUUAGCAUGGAAUAAUGAAAUAGGACGAUCGAUCCUAUUUUGUUGGUUUCUAGGAUUGACGUA
rnacentral:rRNA from 1 species